AUACGGAGGGUGCAAGCGUUAAUCGGAAUCACUGGGCGUAAAGCGCAUGUAGGCGGACAUUUAAGUCAGGGGUGAAAUCCCGGGGCUCAACCUCGGAACUGCCUUUGAUACUGGGUGUCUAGAGUGUGGAAGAGGUAAGUGGAAUUCCGAGUGUAGAGGUGAAAUUCGUAGAUAUUCGGAGGAACACCAGUGGCGAAGGCGGCUUACUGGUCCAUUACUGACGCUGAGGUGCGAAAGCGGUGGG
rnacentral:rRNA from 1 species